AUUGAACGCUGGCGGCAGGCCUAACACAUGCAAGUCGAGCGAGCGGCGGACGGGUGAGUAAUGUCUGGGAAACUGCCUGAUGGAGGGGGAUAACUACUGGAAACGGUAGCUAAUAACGCAUACAAUCAGAUGUGCCCAGAUGGGAUUAGCUAGUAGGUGGGGUAACGGCUAAACUAGGCAACGAUCCCUAGCUGGUAUGAGAGGAUGACCAGCCACACUGUAACUGAGACACGGGCCAGACUCCUACGGGAGGCAGAAGUGGGGAAUAUUGCACCAUGGGCGCAAGCCUGAUGCAGCCCUGCCGCGUGUGUGAAGAAGGCCUUCGGGUUGUAAAGCACGUUCAGCGGGGAGGCGUUACCCGCAGAAGAAGCAUCGGCUAACUCCGUGCCAGCCGCCGCGGUAAUUC
rnacentral:rRNA from 1 species